UGGAAAACUUGAUUGAAAUGCAAUGUAUAGUUGUAAAUCUAAAAAUGGUGCGCAUGAUGCAACUUCCUGGAUGGUGUGGAGUCUGUCAACAUAUGAAAUCCACGUGUAUUUUAGGGCUUUACAGUCAAAUGUAGUGAAAUGAGA